AAACCGGCCCUCUUUAGGGCCACAACCAUGUGAUUUGCCUAUCUU
rfam:Schistosoma mansoni strain Puerto Rico chromosome 3, complete genome